rnacentral:rRNA from 1 species
AUUGAACGCUAGCGGGAUGCUUUACACAUGCAAGUCGAACGAGUGGCGGACGGGUGAGUAAUAUAUCGGAAGUGCCCAGUAGCGGGGGAUAACUCCUGGAAACGGUAGCUAAUACCGCAUACUAUCGGAUAACCCCUAUGGGAUUAGCUAGUAGGUGAGGUAAUGGCUCACCUAGGCGACGAUCCCUAGCUGGUCUGAGAGGAUGAUGAGCCACACUGGGACUGAGACACGGCGCAGAUACGUCGGGAGGCAGCAGUGGGGAAUAUUGCGCAAUGGGCGCAAGGCUGAUGCAGCCAUGCCGCGGGUAUGAAGAAGGCCCGAGGGUUGUAAAGUACUGUCAGUCGGGAGGCGUUACCGACAGAAGAAGCACCGGCUAACUCCGUGCCAGCAGCCGCGGUAAUAC